CUCAACCAGAUGCCUCUGCCCCUUUCCCCCACAAAGUCAGAAAGUAGUUGUAUGUGAUCAAAUAUAGAGACAGAGAAACUUUGGAGACCUCAACAUAUUGCCUUCCAAGGUGGCUGCCUAUGACAAGACACUGAGUAAGAUGGCAUUCUUUGAUCCGUCAAGGGCUCAAGACUUUGUGUUCAUAUCUGGGACUAAGAUGCGGAGCCUGGCUAAGUGAGCCCCGGUGGAUGGAAAGUGUUGGUGGAAUACUACGAGAGUCUGGCUCCGGCCAGCAACGGCCGGGUGCCUCAACCACUUGCUGCUUGAUGUUGAUGAUGAUGUUGAUCAUCACUCUGUAUAAUAUGUCAUGUUUCUAAACUAUCUUCCUCAAUAAUCUCUAAUGUGUGAUGUUAUAUAUAAUGUGCCACUGCCACAGAUGUAAUAUAGUGGGCUAGUACUAAACAUACAUUCCACUUUGUAUAAUAAAUUCCCAUGGUUUGAUUUAUAUGCAAACUGAUAUCAUAUGUAUCCCAUCCCUCUCUUGCAGAUUUUUCUC